CUACGGGGGGCACCAGUGGGGAAUAUUGGACAAUGGGGGAAACCCUGAUCCAGCAAUGCCGCGUGUGUGAAGAAGGCCUGCGGGUUGUAAAGCACUUUCGGUUGGGAGGACUGCUUCUAGCACUAAUAUUGUUGGAAGUUGACGUUACCUUCAGAAGAAGCACCGGCUAACUCCGUGCCAGCAGCCGCGGUAAUACGGAGGGUGCAAGCGUAAAUCGGAAUUACUGGGCGUAAAGCGCGCGUAGGCGGCUAGAUCAGUCGGGUGUGAAAGCCCCGGGCUUAACGUGGGAACUGCAUCCGAUACUGUCUAGCUUGAGUACAGGAGAGGGGAGUGGAAUUCCACAUGUAGCGGUGAUAUGCGUAGAUAUGUGGAGGAACACCAAUGGCGAAGGCAGCUCUCUGGCCUGAUACUGACGCUGAGGUGCGAAAGCGUGGGGAGCAAACAGGAUUAAAUACCCGUGUAGUC
rnacentral:rRNA from 1 species